rnacentral:rRNA from 1 species
AUUGAACGCUGGCGGCAUGCCUUACACAUGCAAGUCGAACGGCAGCACGGGAGCAAUCCUGGUGGCGAGUGGCGAACGGGUGAGUAAAGCAUCGGAACGUGCCCAGUCGUGGGGGAUAACGUAGCGAAAGCUACGCUAAUACCGCAUACGAUCUGUGGAUGAAAGCGGGGGACCGUAAGGCCUCGCGCGAUUGGAGCGGCCGAUGUCAGAUUAGGUAGUUGGUGAGGUAAAGGCUCACCAAGCCGACGAGCUGUAGCUGGUCUGAGAGGACGACCAGCCACACUGGGACUGAGACACGGCCCAGACUCCUACGGGAGGCAGCAGUGGGGAAUUUUGGACAAUGGGCGCAAGCCUGAUCCAGCAAUGCCGCGUGCAGGAUGAGGGCCUUCGGGUUGUAAACUGCUUUUGUACGGAGCGAAACGGCUUCCACUAAUACUGGGGGCUAAUGACGGUACCGUAAGAAUAAGCACCGGCUAACUACGUGCCAGCAGCCGCCGCCGUAA